rnacentral:misc_RNA from 1 species
CAGAGAUCAUGCCCGUAAAGGGUAGACCUCCCACCCUGUGUUAUUUACGAUUGUUGCUUUGGCAGGUCGCCUUCGGGCACUCGGCUUUGGCUGAGGUGCCCCUGCCAGAGGACCCUAAACUCAGAAUGUUAGUGUUGUCCGAGUACUAUAUAAUAGUUA